CCGCUUCACUUCUUCUUCUCUCGCUGCUCUCGCGCUGUUUAUACUGACGUCACACCCGCCGCCAGCGCAGCGGGAGGGCGGCCGUAUUCUCAGCUUUACGGUAACGUAACGGCGCCGAACAACAGAACAACAGAGAAGGACACCCCCCCCAACAUCACUCCACCCGUUUUGGCGGCAGUUCAGCAACAUGGCGAUUCAACGUGCUUUAACUAAAAGCAACAUAACAAGACAUUUAAAUGCACUUAAAAAGAGUUAAAUAGCAAAUAAAAACAGGAGCGUAACAGUUAGCAGCAAACAGAAAAGCCCUGAUUUAAAGAGUCUCAGCAGUUUUCAGUUUGUUCCAGACAUGUGGAGCACAAAACCUGAACGCUGCUUCUCCAGGUUUAGUUCUGACUCUGGGGACAGAAAGCAGACCUGAUCCCAGACCUGAUCCCAGACCACCUGAGAGGUCUGGAUGGUUCAUAGCGAAGCAGGAGAUCAGAAGUGUACUCUGGCCCUGAACCAUCCAGUGCUUUAUAAACCAACUGCAGUGUUUUGAAAUCAGUUCUUUGACAGACAGGAAGCCGGUGUAAAGACCUCAGAACUGGACUGAUGUGAUCCGCUUUCGUGGUCUCAGUGAGGACGCGAGCAGCGGCGCUCUGGAUCAGCUGCAGCUAUGUCCAGCAGCUGUCACUGAGUAGAGAAGAGGUUCCCCCUGAGCAGCAGGACUGGAGCCCCAGUCUGGACCAGGACCCAGAGCCCCCACACAUUAAAGAGGAGCAGGAGGAGCUCUGGACCAGUCAGGAGGGAGAGCAGCUUCGAGGGCUGGAGGAGGCCGAUAU